CACAUUCAGGAUGGUCUUUCAGUUUAGUG
rnacentral:piRNA from 1 species